ACCCGGCGUCAGCACAGUCUCUCAGGGGCAGCAUUGUUGUUAUCGGCGUCUUUGUUCAGUUUUCUGCGUUUCUCAUCCGGUUCUUGGAAACUCAGAUCUGUUCUCAGGAUCAGAAUCUCACCUUCAGGAAGAAAUAACAAUAGAUUCAGAGAUUUAGACCUGAGUCUGAAACCUUUUAUCUGUCCUGAUAAAGUCAAGCUUUUUUUAUUGCCAGAUUAUUUUAUCCUGUUUUGUUAUUUUAUUGAAUUUUGUCUGUAUUAUUAUCUUUAUCUGGUCAUGUGUUGUGUGGUUAGAAUCAGUGCAUCUAUAAAGCUCACAAAACAUUUUUCUGAAGCUCUGUGGGGCCUGAUGUGCAAACCUGCACGUGUUGAAAACCCAGAACUUGUUUUUUCUUUCCAGUUGAUAUUUGUUUUUACGUGCUCGCUAGCAUCCUAAUGAACCUUAAAGCUUUAGUUUUUAGUUUUUACACAGGUUCAGCUCACAGCCUAUAAUUUCUCUUCUUUCGAUAUAAACGGUUCCUUUGUUAAGAAGAAAUGACCGUUAAACGUGUUUGUGGACAUUUGCAUGGAAACAGACAUAAAGUGAUAAUUAAUAAUUAACAUCAUGUUUCAAUGACGAUCUGCCAACAGGCCGGGUUUGAGAAACACCACAUCUUAGUCAUUUUGCUAAUUAGAUGCUUUUAAUUAGAUGCUUUGUACAUGAGAAUAUUUUGUGUGGAAAAGAUAAUUAAUUGUGCAAAACAAGAUAAUUUGAAUUAUCUAGAAACACAAAAAAUAUCAAAUGAAAUUAAACUUUUUGGAAACAACAACUGAGAUAACUCCAAGGGAGAGAAUGACCAUAGAAAAUAAGAAUCUGGUCAAACAUCAUUUGUAUGAUAUGAGCUUAUUAAGAAAACAUGCUAAUAACAUAAUGGGGCGACUAACUACAGUCAGAUAUGAAAUUGUGUGAGGAAGAUAAUUGAAUUGUUGAUCUUUCAGGACUAAACUGUGUAUUAUUGACAUCUCUAAUGUUAAAUACCAGCAGUCCCCACACAACAAACUGCGACUGCGAUAUUUUGUAUUAAAGUGAAAUGAAUGUGUGUUUCUGUUUCCUGUGUUUUCUAGUAUUUGCCUUUUUCGGUUUUGUUAUGUAACCUCCUCCUGUGCAGACACAGAGCUACAGACUGACUUUAUUCCUCCUUAUGUAACACAUGACGACUGAAUAAAUCUGCUGUUUUCUCUCCAGUUGUGUCUGUUUUCACUUCGAUCUGACUCAAAGUGUCGAAUGUUUUCUGUCAUUUCCUUCUGACAUUCUGGUGCAGUGGUAAAAGAAUAAUCUUGUCUUUUUGCCUUUUGUUUUCAAAGCCUGCCCCCCAACUCAUCCUGCAGUUACACCUGUACACCCAUCACCUGUCACCUCAUUGCCCCGCCCACCUGCAGCUCAUUGCACCUGAACCUGCACUGAAUGUUAACACACCUGUGCAGAUAUUUGUGGUGUCCUGCAGUCGCUGAGUCAGGACGUCGCAGAUAACUGUGAGUUGUCAAAGAAGAGGAAGAAUCACAGGUGUACCCAAGAGUGUUGAGGCUCAGGUAAAGUGGCACACGGCCCUCGUGCACAAUCAGCUGACCCCUGAAACUGUCACGUGACAAAACCAAUGGAAAGCCCUUCUCCUGCGAACACGUAUGAUCCUGGUCACGUGUCCAGGCUGUUUCCCUCCCACACUGUGAUUACAAGCAGCUGCACACACCACAGCUGGAAUAAUCAUGAGUGUGUAUGGCUGUGUUGGUGAGGACCGGCUUGAGUGUUAUACCAUCACUGUGAGGACGUGUCGUCUGGUCCUCACAGCUUCAGAGGAUUCAGACCUGGUUUUGAGUUCAGGUCAGUGUUCGGGUUGGUGAACGUGUUCUCUCGGUGAGGGUCCUCACAAACAUAGAGGUUUAAAUGCAUGUGCUGCUAUGAAAGCUGAGCAUGAGGAAACACAGAUGUGUGUUUGUCUCCGGGUAACGUGAGCCUGGAAAAUCAGUUCAUGGGGUAAAACUGCGGUUUCCUCUGAGUCACCAGCUGACGGACUCAGUUUCCUCACACAGCAACAUGCUAAUGUCACAGCUAAUAUGCUAACAGGUCGACUGCACUGGGCCGACUCCCAGAAUUCCUCUGCCAUGACACAGAAUCAAGUUCAGGUCCCGCACGCAUUAAAAUAAAGUUUUGUUUGUAGAGAUGAGAUCAGCCAAGCAUCACAUGAUAAUUGCAUGUGAUGUGUUGUACAGCGGCCUUCGGUUUCCGCCUGCUGCCUGAGGCGGUGGAGCUAAAGGACCGCUGUGAUGUUUUAAUGAACCCUCUGGUUCAGGCAGACAUCAGGACGUGGUUAGCCUAGCUUAGCACAAACACUGGCAGCAGAGGGAAACUGCUAGCCUCUAUGUGUCUGUCUCUGUGUGUCAGGCCUGUGAUUGGCUGCUGAUCUGUCCAAGGGGGGACCUGCCUCACACCCACUGCAUGCUGCCCCCCCUCGCACCCUGGACAGCAGGAAUAAGCAGAAGAUAACAGAUUUAAAUUUAUUCCAUCAUCAGUCUCUCAGUCUCUUCCAGUGUCCCUUUGUAACGAGGACGUUAGUGCAGCUUCACCAGACCAACACUGUGUCCUGUUUAUCAAGGUUCCUCAGCAGUGACCUCAUUUCCUUCCUGUCAGCUUCCACUUCCUGCACAGCCGCUGCCUCACACACACACACACACACACACACACACACAGAAUUUCUGAGCCUCCAAAAUCCAGAAAGACGUUUUUUAAUCUCACCGACAGAAGUUGAAAUAUCACAGGAUUUUAGUUCUACAUUGACCUAACAUGAAAACCUGCUUGUACUAUAAUAACCUGCCCAGACAAGGUAAAUUUUGCAAACAAUAUCUGAUUUCUUCUAAACAAAAUGAUAAUUUGCACACUUAAAAAGAUGUGGAUUAAUGGUGUUUUCUCUGCCUCAUACAGUAUUUACUCUGUCAUGGGAGACAGAAUUAGUUUAAAGUGAAAUUUACUGCUGCUUCGAUUUUCUGCUAUGAAAUGAUUUUCACAUGAAACUGUCUGAAAUGUUGUUUAUGAUCACAUGCUAAAGAAAUGAUAGAAAUCAGUGAAAGUGUGGUUGCAUGAAUGAACAUGUGAAAGGCAGCCUCUGCUAAUUUACAUGAUACUGGAUGUAUUCCCUCUGUGUUUAGUGAAUAGCAGGAGGUGGAAUCAGUUCUAUGUGUGAAACCUGAAGCCUGAGACUAAUUUCACCAUCAACACUGAUCACAAGACGUGGAUGCAGCUCCGAGCUGCAGGUGACGACCCAGUGGGUUUCUGUUCCUCUGCUCCCUGAUGCAGCCCAGUCCCGAACCACAGAGUCCACCUGCGGCAUGUGGGGCAGAGCAGGCAGCUA
rnacentral:lncRNA from 1 species